CGACCGGCGCACGGGUGAGUAACACGUAUCCAACCUGCCGAUAACUCGGGGAUAGCCUUUCGAAAGAAAGAUUAAUAUCCGAUAGCAUAUUGAGAUCGCAUGAUUUUGAUAUUAAAGAAUUUCGGUUAUCGAUGGGGAUGCGUUCCAUUAGUUUGUUGGCGGGGUAACGGCCCACCAAGACUACGAUGGAUAGGGGUUCUGAGAGGAAGGUCCCCCACAUUGGAACUGAGACACGGUCCAA
rnacentral:rRNA from 1 species